UGAGCCCCGCCCUGCUGGAGCACACACACACACACUUGCUCAGCAGAGCGACACACCGCCGUGUGCUGUGUGUGUGCGUGUCGGCCGUCUUGACGUCCGUCUUCCUGUCCUACCGAACCUUCAGCCCUCUGACCUACGGGACACCUGAGCUAUCAGUCAAUCAACUGCAAGCACUCAAGUGGAGACACUCCUGGGACAUCCUGUACCGCCGCCGCUAGACAGGCAGAGAGAGGGACUUCCUGAAGGUGUUUGUGUGAUGUCAGAGAUGAUGUCAUGUUGGAGGAGGAGCUUCAGUCCUCUGAAUCAAGAGUCACAAUUCAAACAGCACAAGAUUCUCCCACAAUGCAAUGCACAAAGGGAGGAGUGUGACAUCACAUGCAUCUCUUCCUGUUUGAAAUGUGUAUAAUUAAGUCUGGUGGAAUUAAACACUUUUCAUUUUCUAAAUCAAAA